GUCUACAGCCAUACCACCCUGAACACACCCCAUUUCAUCUGAUCUUGGAAGCUAAACAGGGUCAGGCCUGGUUAGUACUUGGAUGGAAGACAGAUCUUCAGAGGAGACUGUUCAGA
rnacentral:rRNA from 1 species